rnacentral:lncRNA from 1 species
AUACUGAGUAGCAGGAGUGUCUGUUAUGAUGAUGAGGGGACUCUUGGUGGGCACCUAGAUAGCUUCAGGAUGGGGGCUGGUCACCAGAGAGACCAAUCAUGUGAUUAGAGGAUUGGGACUUUGGGCCCACUGGACCCCCAGGAAAAGUAGAUGUGCUAGAAAUUAAGUUCAAUCACAUGGCCAAUGAUUUAAUCAAGGACAUCUAAGUAAUGAAUCCCCAGUGAAAACUCUGGACCCAAGCUUGGAGGGGUUUCCUGGUUGGUGAACACAUUGAUGAGCCGGGGGAUGAUACACCAGGAUUUCAUGAGGGGAGGACACAGAAACUUAGCAUUGGUCCCCACCCAAGACCUUAUCCUGUGCAUCUCUUUUAGUUGUCGUUCCUGAUCUGUAUGCUUCAUAAUAAAAUCUGACCACUCCCUGAUAUGCUGCAGAUGCAAUUGAGUAGCAGCUUCAUUCCACAUUUCUCCAACAUCUUUCAUGGUGAGGUCAAGAGCAUAUUCAAAACCAUGUGUGGCUCAGUCCAACUGGAGAGACCAAGUCAAAGACCCUCAUUUCCAUAAGGCACAGAGUGAAGAAGUGGCAAGUUACACGGCCAGAGCAUGCACAGAAGAAAACUUCGACCUCAAAUAAUACCUAGAACCAAAGUCCCUACCGCAGAACUAAAAGAUUGGGACAUGGCUGGAACUCAAGCGCCUAAACACUUUCAAAAGACUUUGCCUUCCAGUGUCUACUUGGCCUUCCAGUGUCAGACAGCUUCUUGCACAUGAUCCAUCCAGCUGAGGACACAGAUGUCAAAAAAAAAAAAAACCAUAAAUACAGAAUUCAAGAAAAUUUUACCA